AGUGGACGCUGGCGGUAGGCCUAACACAUGCAAGUCGAACGGCAGCACAGUAAGAGCUUGCUCUUACGGGUGGCGAGUGGCGGACGGGUGAGGAAUACAUCGGAAUCUACUUUUUCGUGGGGGAUAACGUAGGGAAACUUACGCUAAUACCGCAUACUACCUACGGGUGAAAGCAGGGGAUCUUCGGACCUUUCGCGAUUGAAUGAGCCGAUGUCGGAUUAGCUAGUUGGCGAGGUAAAGGCCCACCAAGGCGACGAUCCGUAGCUGGUCUGAGAGGAUGAUCAGCCACACUGGAACUGAGACACGGUCCAGACUCCUACGGGAGGCAGCAGUGGGGAAUAUUGGACAAUGGGCGCAAGCCUGACCCAGCCAUACCGCGUGGGUGAAGAAGGCCUUCGGGUUGUAAAGCCCUUUUGUUGGGAAAGAAAAGCAGCAGGUUAAUACCCCGCUGUUCUGACGGUACCCAAAGAAUAAGCACCGGCUAACUUCGUG
rnacentral:rRNA from 1 species